rnacentral:lncRNA from 1 species
ACGUGCAUAUCAUCGAAAUCUUGCAUCCCGUAAAAGUUAAGAAAGUGAUCCUGAAAGUGCAAACCAUUCAAAUUUUAGUCUCAGUGCAAAAUAUGAUAAAAUAAAAUAAAAAUAAAAAUAAAUAAAUGUGAAAAAGUAAAAUGAAAGAAAAACCAUGGGUUGCCUCCCACGCAGUGUUUGUUUAACGUCAUUAACUUGACGAUUA